UACGGAGGUGGCAAGCGUUACUCGGAAUCAUUGGGUGUAAAGGGCAAGUAGGCGGCUUAAUAAGUGAGGGGUGAAAUCUUCCGACUCAAUCGGAAAAUUGCCUUUCAAACUAUUUUGCUUGAGGCAGGGAGAGGGAAAUGGAAUUCUCGGUGUAAGGGUGAAAUCUGUAGAUAUCGGGAAGAACACCAGCGGCGAAGGCGAUUUCCUGGCCCUGUCCUGACGCUGAAUUGCGAAAGCUAGGGGAG
rnacentral:rRNA from 1 species